rnacentral:rRNA from 1 species
AGUGAACGCUGGCGGUAGGCCUAACACAUGCAAGUCGAACGGCAGCACAGUAAGAGCUUGCUCUUACGGGUGGCGAGUGGCGGACGGGUGAGGAAUACAUCGGAAUCUACUUUUUCGUGGGGGAUAACGUAGGGAAACUUACGCUAAUACCGCAUACGACCUACGGGUGAAAGCAGGGGAUCUUCGGACCUUGCGCGAUUGAAUGAGCCGAUGUCGGAUUAGCUAGUUGGCGGGGUAAAGGCCCACCAAGGCGACGAUCCGUAGCUGGUCUGAGAGGAUGAUCAGCCAAACUGGAACUGAGACACGGUCCAGACUCCUACGGGAGGCAGCAGUGGGGAAUAUUGGACAAUGGGCGCAAGCCUGAUCCAGCCAUACCGCGUGGGUGAAGAAGGCCUUCGGGUUGUAAAGCCCUUUUGUUGGGAAAGAAAGGCAGCAGGUUAAUACCCCGCUGUUCUGACGGUACCCAAAGAAUAAGCACCGGCUAACUUCGUG